rnacentral:ncRNA from 1 species
CGAACGCCCCCGGGGAGCGCACGAGCGCUGAGAGUGCAGGCCGGACACCCGUCCCUCCUGCAGACCCGUGGAACCUGAUCUGGUUCGUACCAGCGAAGGGAGCAGGGCCGACGUCACCGU